rnacentral:rRNA from 1 species
UGGGGAAUCUUGCGCAAUGCGCGAAAGCGUGACGCAGCAACGCCGCGUGGGGGAAGAAGGCCUUCGGGUUGUAAACCCCUUUCAGUUGGGACGAAGCUUCGGCGGUGAAUAGCCGCCUGGAGUGACGGUACCUUCAGAAGAAGCCCCGGCUAACUACGUGCCAGCAGCCGCGGUAAUACGUAGGGGGCAAGCGUUGUCCGGAAUCAUUGGGCGUAAAGAGCGUGUAGGCGGCUUGGUAAGUCCGCUGUGAAAGUCCAGGGCUCAACCCUGGAAUGCCGGUGGAAACUGUCAGGCUCGAGUCCGGAAGAGGCGAGUGGAAUUCCUGGUGUAGCGGUGAAAUGCGCAGAUAUCAGGAGGAACACCAAUGGCGAAGGCAGCUCGCUGGGACGGUACUGACGCUGAGACGCGAAAGCGUGGGGAGCAAACA